rnacentral:rRNA from 1 species
AUUGAACGCUGGCGGCAUGCCUAACACAUGCAAGUCGAACGGCAGCACGGUAGGUUCUUGCUGUUGCCGAGGGCCGGACGGGGGAGUAUUACAUCGGAACCGGACCCUACGUUUUGGUGAGGGCGGAGGAAGCGGGACUUAUACUGCUAACGCAUACCGGCUGCAAGUGAAGGCACGGGAUCUUCGGCGCUUGCGGGAUUGCAGAAGCCGAUGUCGGAUUAGCUAGUUGGAGGGGUAAAGGCCUACCAAGGCGACGAUCCGUAGCUGGUCUGAGAGGACGACCAGCCACACUGGAACUGAGACACGGUCCAGACUCCUACGGGAGGCAGCAGUGGGGAAUUUUGGACAAUGGGCGAAAGCCUGAUCCAGCCAUGCCGCGUGUGUGAAGAAGGCCUUCGGGUUGUAAAGCACUUUUGUCGGGAAAGAAAAGCUUGAGGCUAAUACGGUCGGGUGCUGACGGUACCGGAAGAAUAAGCACCGGCUAACUACGUG